AAACAUCAUGUCAUAGUGAUAACAAUUAAAAUCAAACAUCAUACUUGACAAUAAAGAAAAUCAAAUAAAUCAUAAAAUGCUCAGAUUUUCAUGUCAUUCUUCGCAAAGUCGUUCCGACUUCCAUUUCUGAGGGUAGAUAUGAAUUUUCGACUACCCAUAUAGAAUGAUAAGAUUAGAUACAGAUAACGACAAUUUGCUUAAGCACAUUUCUGGGUUUUCAAACCAUGGUACUAUCUAUGACUACGGCCGU
rnacentral:lncRNA from 1 species